GAUGAACGCUAGCUACAGGCCUAACACAUGCAAGUCGAGGGGAAACGGCAGCUUAGCUUGCUAAGUUGGACGUCGACCGGCGCACGGGUGAGUAACGCGUAUCCAACCUGCCCCACGGUGAGGGAUAACCCGCGGAAACGCGGCCUAAUACCUCAUGGCCUCCGAGCUUGACAUCAACCUUGGAGUAAAGAUUCAUUGCCGUGGGAUGGGGAUGCGUCUGAUUAGCUUGUUGGCGGGGCAACGGCCCACCAAGGCUACGAUCAGUAGGGGUUCUGAGAGGAAAGCCCCCCACAUUGGAACUGAGACACGGUCCAAACUCCUACGGGAGGCAGCAGUGAGGAAUAUUGGUCAAUGGGCGCAAGCCUGAACCAGCCAAGUAGCGUGAGGGAAGACUGCCCUACGGGUUGUAAACCUCUUUUGUUUGGGAAUAAAGUGAGAGUCGUGACUCUUUUUGCAUGUACCUUAUGAAUAAGGACCGGCUAAUUCCGUG
rnacentral:rRNA from 1 species